rnacentral:RNase_P_RNA from 1 species
CGAGGCGACCGGAUGGCCGCGACCGCACCGGGCAACCGAUGGGGUUGAGGAAAGUCCGAGCUCCACAGCGCAAGGUAGCGGGUAACGCCCGCCCGCCGCGAGGCGAGGACGAGCGCCACAGUGACGAAGCCGGGCAAAGCCCUUCGGGCUUCGCCUAGGAGUGAAACGAGGCAAGCUCUACCUGGAGCAAGGCCAAGUAGGAGGGCGCAACCCGGUUCGCCGGGGGAGAGGCGCGCUGCCCAGCCCUCGGGUCGGCCGCACGAGCCGGCGGGCAACCGCCGGCCUCAGAUGGAUGGCCAUC